GAGUUUGAUCCUGGCUCAGAGCGAACGCUGGCGGCGUGCUUAACACAUGCAAGUCAGGGAGAAAGUCUCUUCGGGGAUGAUUAAACCGGCGCACGGGUGAGUAACACGUGAGUGACCUGCCUUUUAGACUGGAACAACUUACCGAAAGGUGAGCUAAUGCCGGAUGAGUUAUAUAAGUGCAUGUUUAUAUAGGAAAAGUUGGGGAGACCUGACGCUGAAAGAUGGACUCGCGUCCCAUUAGCUAGUUGGUAGGGUAAUGGCCUACCAAGGCGACGAUGGGUAGCCGGCCUGAGAGGGUGGCCGGCCACACUGGGACUGAGACACGGCCCAGACUCCUACGGGAGGCAGCAGUGGGGAAUUUUGCGCAAUGCUCGUAAGAGUGACGCAGCGACGCCGCGUGAAUGACGAAGGCCUUCGGGUCGUAAAGUUCUUUCGACAGGGAAGAAAAUGCCUAUAAGUAACUGUGUAUGUAUUGACGGUACCUGUAUAAGCAGCCCCGGCUAACUCCGUGCCAGCAGCCGCGGUAAUACGGAGGGGGCGAGCGUUGUUCGGAGUGACUGGGCGUAAAGAGCACGUAGGCGGUGUUGUAAGUCAUUAGUCAAAGACUAGAGCUCGACUUUAGUAAGGCUAGUGAUACUAUAAUACUAGAGUAUCAGAGAGGAUUGCAGAAUUCCUGGUGUAGCGGUGAAAUGCGU
rnacentral:rRNA from 1 species